UACGUAGGGGGCAAGCGUUGUCCGGAUUUAUUGGGCGUAAAGAGCGUGUAGGCGGCUUGGUAGGUCCGCUGUGAAAACUCGAGGCUCAACCUCGAGAUGUCGGCGGAAACCACUUGGCUAGAGUCCGGAAGAGGAGAGUGGAAUUCCUGGUGUAGCGGUGAAAUGCGCAGAUAUCAGGAAGAACACCCUGUCGGCAAGGCGGCUCUCUGGGACGGUACUGACGCUGAGACGCGAAAGCGUGGGGAGCGAACAGG
rnacentral:rRNA from 1 species